rnacentral:rRNA from 1 species
GAUGAGCGCUGGCGGCGUGCCUAAUACAUGCAAGUCGAGCGAACAGACGAGGAGCUUGCUCCUCUGACGUUAGCGGCGGACGGGUGAGUAACACGUGGAUAACCUACCUAUAAGACUGGGAUAACUUCGGGAAACCGGAGCUAAUACCGGAUAAUAUAUUGAACCGCAUGGUUCAAUAGUGAAAGACGGUUUUGCUUUCACUUAUAGAUGUAUCCGCGCCGCAUUAGCUAGUUGGUAAGUUAACGGCUUACCAAGGCAACGAUGCGUAGCCGACCUGAGAGGGUGAUCGGCCAAACUGGAACUGAGACACGGUCCAGACUCCUCCGGGAGGAAGAAGUAGGGAAUCUUCCGCAAUGGGCGAAAGCCUGCCGGAGAAACGCCGCGUGAGUGAUGAAGGUCUUCGGAUCGUAAAACUCUUUUAUUAGGGAAGAACAAAUGUGUAAGUAAAUAUGCACGUCUUGACGGUAACUAAUCAGAAAGCCACGGCUAACUACGUG